rnacentral:rRNA from 1 species
UACCAGCACCCCGAGUGGUCGGGACGAUUAUUGGGCCUAAAGCAUCCGUAGCCGGUCCUACAAGUCUUCCGUUAAAUCCACCUGCUCAACAGAUGGGCUGCGGAGGAUACUAUAGGGCUAGGAGGCGGGAGAGGCAAGCGGUACUCAGUGGGUAGGGGUAAAAUCCUCUGAUCCAUUGAAGACCACCAGUGGCGAAGGCGGCUUGCCAGAAUGCGCUCGACGGUGAGGGAUGAAAGCUGGGGGAGCAAACCGG